rnacentral:lncRNA from 1 species
UCCUUCAUAUCUUCUUCCAUCUUUAGCUUUAUCUUUACUUAAGAAUUGAUUUUUUUUCUUUAACUUUUUAUUUCUAUAAGAUAACUUUUUAUAGUCACUAAUUAGAUCAUUGAAAGUAUCAUAUAAUUUUUCAAAAGUAAAAUCUGAAAUUAAAUUAUCAUCACCUACCUCAUCAUCAAGUGCCAUAAGGCAAAGAUUUGUCUUCUCCUUUAUUUGACAUUCUUCAUCACUUGAAGAAGAAUCCUUAUCAUUGCUCCAUGUAGCUUUGCAUGCCUUCUUCUUCAUCUUUUUGGAGCUUUUGUUCAAGAGGGGGCGAUCCAUCCGAAAAUGUCUGGGCUUCUUAUAUUCAUAGCAAAGAGGUUGCUCUUUCUCUUUUUUCUUUUCUUUCUCUUAGCUACCUUCUCCCUUAUUAUAUCUUCUCCUUGGCUCAAACUUCUUUCUUCUCCUCAUAAACUUCUUGAACCUUCUUGCUAACAUAGCCAUCUCCUCAUCAUCUUUCGAAUUUUCUUCAAAGUCACUUUCUUCUUCAUGGAUGGCGGUGGCCUUGGGUACUAUACUUUUCUUCUUCUUUACCUCUUUUUCCUUGCCUUGGUUUAUAUUGAGCUCAUGUGUCAUGAGCGAUCCAAUAAGCUCCUCCAAGGCUAUUUUUUUUAGGUCCUUUGCCUCUUGAAUGGUAGUCACUUUUGGCUUCCAAUUCUUUGGCAAAGACCUAAGAAUUUUAUGCACAACAUCACUAUUAGAA